rnacentral:rRNA from 1 species
GACGGAGGAGGCUAGCGUUGUUCGGAAUUACUGGGCGUAAAGCGCGCGCGGGCGGCCAAGCAAGUCAGGGGUGAAAGCCCGGGGCUCAACCUCGGAACUGCCUUUGAGACUGUUUGGCUGGAGACCGGGAGAGGAGAGUGGAAUUCCCAGUGUAGAGGUGAAAUUCGUAGAUAUUGGGAAGAACACCAGUGGCGAAGGCGGCUCUCUGGCCCGGACCUGACGCUGAGGCGCGAAAGCGUGGGGAG